AGACCAGCCUGGCCAAUAUGGUGAAACCCCAUCUCUUCUAAAAAUACAAAAAAAAAAAAAAUUAGCCAGGGGUGGUGGUGGGUGCCUGUAGUCUCAGCUACUUGGGAGGCUGAGGCAUGAGAAUUGCUUGAACCUGGGAGGUGGAAGUUGCAGUGAGCCUAGAUCAUGCCACUGCACUACAGCCUGGGCAACAGAGCAAGACUCUCCCCCAAAAAACAAAAAUCUGCUGUUCCAGCCAGUACAUUAUUUAUUUCAGACAUUGUAAUUUCUAUCUGUUGAUAUCCAGUUUGAGUUUUUUUAUAUCUUCCGUAUCUGUAAAGAACUUUUGGAACGUAUGGAGUACAGUAUAAUAGUUGUUCUAAUGUUCUUACCUACUAAUUCUAACUCCUGGGUCCGUUUCAGUUGAAUGAUUUUUAUCCUCAUGAUGUGCCCUAUUUUCCUGCUUUUUGCAUAUUUGGUGACUUUGUUGUUGGAUACUAGACAAUAUCAGUAUUACCUUGUCGAGCACUCGUUACUUUUGUAUGCCUAUAAAUAUUCUUGAGCUUUGUUUGAGAAUGCAGUCACCUUACUUGGAAGCAGCUUGAUCCUUUCAGGUUUUGCUUUUAAGAUUCCUCAGGCAGGACCAGAACAGUGUUUAACAGGUUAGGGCUGCUUAUUCCCCACGGCUGAUGUAAGACCCUCUCCGUGUUCUACCCAGUGUUCCUUCAGUUAUGAGGUUCUUCUGGCAGGAACAGCGCCUUGUCAAGGCCUGUGUGAGUCCCCAGAACUCAGGCGCUAUUUGCUUCAGUCCCUCCAGGUGGUUCUUUCCCUGGCAUUCUAGUCUGCAGUAACAGAGGACCAUGGACUGGUGGCUCAAAAACAACAAACACUUAUUUCUCACAGUUCUGGAGGCUGGAAGUCCAAGAUAAUUUAUUUUUAUUUUUAUUUAUUUAUUUUUUGAGAUGGAGUCUCGCUCUGCUGCCCAGGCUGGAGUGCAAUGGCGCGAUCUUGGCUCACUGCAACCUUCGCCUCCCAGGUUCAAGAGAUUCCCCUGCCUCAGGCUCCCGAGUAGCUGGGACUACAGGCACCCACCACUACACCCGGCGAAUUUGUAUAUAUUUAGUAGAGACAGGGUUUCACCAUGUUGGCAAAGCUGGUCUCGAACACCUGAGUUCAGGUGAUCCGCCCUCCUCGGUCUCCCAAAGUGCUGGGAUUACAGGCA
rnacentral:lncRNA from 1 species